UACCGUUUAGGAUUGACGUUACUCACAGAAGAAGCCCCGGCUAACUCCGUGCCAGCAGCCGCGGUAAUACGGAGGGGGCAAGCGUUAAUUGGAAUUACUGGGCGUAAAGCGCGCGUAGGUGGUUUGAUAAGCGAGAUGUGAAAGCCCCGGGCUUAACCUGGGAACGGCCUUUUGAACUGUCAGGCUAGAGUGUGGUAGAGGGUAGUGGAAUUUCCUGUGUAGCGGUGAAAUUCGUAGAUAUAGGAAGGAACACCAGUGGCGAAGGCGGCUACCUGGACCAACACUGACACUGAGGUGCGAAAACCUGGGGAGCAAACAGGAUUAGAUACCCUGGUAGUCCACGCCGUAAACGAUGUCAACUAGCCGUUGGGACUCUUGAAAUCUUACUGGCGCAGCUAACGCACUAAGUUGACCGCCUGGG
rnacentral:rRNA from 1 species